GAUGAACGCUGGCGGCGUGCCUAAUACAUGCAAGUCGAGCGAACGGACGAGAAGCUUGCUUCUCUGAUGUUAGCGGCGGACGGGUGAGUAACACGUGGAUAACCUACCUAUAAGACUGGGAUAACUUCGGGAAACCGGAGCUAAUACCGGAUAAUAUUUUGAACCGCAUGGUUCAAAAGUGAAAGACGGUCUUGCUGUCACUUAUAGAUGGAUCCGCGCUGCAUUAGCUAGUUGGUAAGGUAACGGCUUACCAAGGCAACGAUGCAUAGCCGACCUGAGAGGGUGAUCGGCCAAACUGGAACUGAGAAACGGUCCAGACUACUACGGGAGGCAGCAGUAGGGAAUAUUCCGCAAUGGGCGAAAGCCUGACGGAGCAAAGCCGCGUGAGUGAUGAAGGUCUUCGGAUCGUAAAACUCUGUUAUUAGGGAAGAACAUAUGUGUAAUUAACUGUGCACAUCUUGACGGUACCUAAUCAGAAAGCCACGGCUAACUACGUG
rnacentral:rRNA from 1 species